rnacentral:rRNA from 1 species
GACGAACCGUGCGAACGUUGUUCGGAUUCACUGGGCUUAAAGGGCGCGUAGGCGGGCCAUCAAGUCAGGGGUGAAAUCUUUCGGCUCAACCGGAAAAGUGCCUUUGAUACUGGUGGUCUCGAGGGAGGUAGGGGCAUGCGGAACUUCCGGUGGAGCGGUGAAAUGCGUAGAUAUCGGAAGGAACGCCGGUGGCGAAAGCGGCGUGCUGGACCUCUUCUGACGCUGAGGCGCGAAAGCUAGGGGAGCAAACAGG